rnacentral:snRNA from 1 species
UGGUUAUCAUACGACGCUCUCA